AACGAACGCUGGCGGCAGGCUUAACACAUGCAAGUCGAGCGAGACCUUCGGGUCUAGCGGCGGACGGGUGAGUAACGCGUGGGAACGUGCCCUUCUCUACGGAAUAGCCCCGGGAAACUGGGAGUAAUACCGUAUACGCCCUUUGGGGGAAAGAUUUAUCGGAGAAGGAUCGGCCCGCGUUGGAUUAGGUAGUUGGUGGGGUAAUGGCCCACCAAGCCGACGAUCCAUAGCUGGUUUGAGAGGAUGAUCAGCCACACUGGGACUGAGACACGGCCCAGACUCCUACGGGAGGCAGCAGUGGGGAAUCUUAGACAGUGGGGGCAACCCUGAUCUAGCCAUGCCGCGUGAGUGAUGAAGGCCUUAGGGUUGUAAAGCUCUUUCAGCUGGGAAGAUAAUGACGGUACCAGCAGAAGAAGCCCCGGCUAACUCCGUG
rnacentral:rRNA from 1 species